CGAGGGGGUGAGGGGAGAGUAAAGGUGCGCUGAAGAGAAGUUUCCUUCAUUUGCAUCUGACACACUUCACUACUCUGCUAUUCAGACAGUACAAUCAUUUUAAUAACUGUCUGCCUUCCUCUGCCCCCCUCCUCCUCAUCCUCCUCCUCCUACUUCUGUUUCUACUGACAAGAAAGAUGAUGUAUCUGCAGACAGAUUUGCAGCACUUUCAGCACUUCUCUUUCCAACUGAGAUAUGAAAAAGUCCUAUUUGUGCAGGCCCCACAGAGCUCCCUUAUCUCAGGAGAGCCUGUGCAUGCUGGAUUGCUGAGUCACCUUUCGUGGGAGGCUGCCCUUAUCUCCUAAGAAGCACAACAUUCAGGCAGUUGGUUGCAAAAGGAGGAACUUUGGGCAGGAGAGCACUGCGGCCUGCUGUGUCUUCACGGCCGUAUUACGGAUUGCAGCAAUGCUCGCUGACUUCCUCAAAGUCUCACACCAGUGCUGUUUUCUCUGUCAGGUCAGAAGCUGAAGGGUUUGGAUGUACGCAGGUGUGGAAAAGCUGCAGGAUGAGCGACUCCUGAGGCCACACAAGAGGGAAUGCUGGGACUGAAAUGUGACUCAGCGCUAUCAGCGAACGCAGAGGUGUCCAAUCGUGACUGUGGUCUUCCAAGUCCCCAGAGAUACUGUCCCGUCCCAGUGACACAGCAGCUUUGCUCACUACAGGCCAGACAGGCAAAACGCUGAAGCGCAGGUCUCAGGAAGGGGUUGCAGGGGUUCACUGUGGUCACCAUUCGAGACAAAGGCGCUGCAUGGCCAAAAGUAGGUCCCCCCGAAUCUUUGAUUGUCCUGUGAAAAUAUUACAAUUUUAAGUCAGUAAAUUAUCAUUUAUUUUGGAUCAAGUGAAAAUGAAACACCAAAUAAGUGCUACAGAUUGAUACUUAAAAAAUACCCAAAGGCACUUGUGUAAUGAGUGAGCUUUGGCAAGCAGAAAUCCUGAAGACGUCUGACCGUUGCAGCAGACAGUUAAUCAAUCCAAGUGCUUGUCUUCUUUUCUGUUUUGGGGAAAAAAUAUGGGAGGCCAGCCUAAUCAGCAGAGGAAACAGAUCUCAGGGGGGUGUCAGGCAUCAGGAAAAUGGAUCUAGGUUGUGAAAAACCACGAUUACCACGAGCUGCUCUGGAAUCAGCCAUCUGGAGAUGCCUGCUCCAAAAGCCAGUAAAGUUCGCUCAACUGGGGCCCAUCUAGGAAACAGGUUUACACACCCUUAACAGACAGCCAACACUCCCAGAGCGGAGGGAUGUCUGCUCUACACAGUGAGUUUUCCAAGACUUCCAAUUUCCCUCCUGUCUGUCUCCAGGAACGACAUCCAAUGUUUUUUAAUCUCUGUCGGAACAUUUCCAAUUACUGUAGUCUUUGCCAACUGACCAUUAACUUGUAUCUCACCAGCCCACUCAUCCAAAAAAAUAAGAUACACAUUUAGCUGAUGCAAAUGCCCAAAGUUUAACGUGAUGCCAGUCAAAUACAUACAGGCACUAAAACACAGAGACGCUGAAACACAAUUCCAAACAAAAAGGGCACAACAUUUUAAAAACCUUUAUUAUUUAGUAUUUAUAAUAUUUAUUUAAUUUGGGGUUUUUUUUGAUGCUGUAUUUAUUGUGCAUGCCCAUCUGCUAAUAACACUGCAUUACUAAUCUUUCUAAUUUUAUGCUAUUUCUACAA